CUGAAUCUAACCGUCUAUAAGGAGAUAACAGUAACAAGUUAAAACUAAUAGUGAAACAAAUAUAACAGGUCCGCACAUUACAAUGCUACCAAGCAAUGUCCUGUUAAUAACAACAGCAUCUGCACAUGAUAACCAGAGUUAUCCUUGUCACAGCUUACAAAACCCUGCAUUCUCAUAAAAUUCUAUUGGCCAUAGAGGUAGCUUUCGAAAUAGAGGCAUGUAUCACAAUACUUUGACAUCAGCUAUAGUUUCUACUAGAAACAUUACUGAACUUACAGAACAUCCAAUAAUUGGUGCUAAUUAAAACUGAAUCCUGCAUCCACCACUCACCGAAUAAAACUGGUUAGGCUCUGUUUUGCCCAGAUCCACAAGAAGGGGUGUGAGAUGCGGGCAAAAGUGCAGAGGUUGUGUCAUGUUGUUGGCAACGUCGUGUUGCUCGCGAACGACACAAUGCUAGCGGUAGAGGCCUCCGAGCUCAUGGACUGGUACUCCAAGAUCAACCUGAAAGAGAUGUGGAUGAAACCCUAGCAAAUCGAGAAACUUCUGUGGGGAAGGAGAUGUGGAUGGAGGUGGAGGUGGACAGAUUGGCGAACAUGCACGUGGCAUCCUCGAGCUUCUCCCCAGGUGCGAGACCUCCGGGAUCCUCGGCUCUCCCUGCUAGCGCCCCGAGACGACGGGCCCCUACUACGCUGGUGGUGCGGGGGCGCGGCUGCUCUGGGAAAGUGGUGCUCCUUCCUCGUCUGGAUCUGGAUGGAGCUCGUCGGUGGAGACCGGAGCACCUGGGUGACGGCGGCGACCUCACGACUGGGGUGACCUCGUGACUGGAAGAAGACCAGCCGCGCGGCUCGCGUCGCACGGGGAAACCCUCCCGGCCGAACGGGUCGUGGAUUCGUUUCUCG
rnacentral:lncRNA from 1 species